rnacentral:tRNA from 1 species
GGCUUGGUAGCUCAGUUGGUAGAGCACUUGAUUGAAGCUCAAGGUGUCGGCAGUUCGAUUCUGUCCCAAGCCACCA